rnacentral:ncRNA from 2 species
GUGCGUUAGCGAUUGAUACGGUAUCCUUUUUUGUGCGCGCUUAUGCGCAAAAAAGAUAUAGUGGAAAGCGCGACUCUUG